UGGGGAAUAUUGCACAAUGGGCGCAAGCCUGAUGCAGCCAUGCCGCGUGUAUGAAGAAGGCCUUCGGGUUGUAAAGUACUUUCAGCGGGGAGGAAGGUGUUGUGGUUAAUAACCGCAGCAAUUGACGUUACCCGCAGAAGAAGCACCGGCUAACUCCGUGCCAGCAGCCGCGGUAAUACGGAGGGUGCAAGCGUUAAUCGGAAUUACUGGGCGUAAAGCGCACGCAGGCGGUUUGUCAAGUCGGAUGUGAAAUCCCCGGGCUCAACCUGGGAACUGCAUUCGAAACUGGCAGGCUAGAGUCUUGUAGAGGGGGGUAGAAUUCCAGGUGUAGCGGUGAAAUGCGUAGAGAUCUGGAGGAAUACCGGUGGCGAAGGCGGCCCCCUGGACAAAGACUGACGCUCAGGUGCGAAAGCGUGGGGAGCAAACA
rnacentral:rRNA from 1 species